GCUGGCGGCGUGCCUAACACAUGCAAGUCGAACGAGAAAGCUAUCUUCGGAAAGCGAGUACAGUGGCGAACGGGUGAGUAACACGUUGGUGACCUGCCCCGAGGUGAGGGACAACUGUGGGAAGCCACAGCUAAUACCCCAGAUGUUGAGGAGUCUAGACGUCCUUAACUAAAGUUCUGGCGCCUCGGGAGGGGCCUGCGGGCUAUCAGCUUGUUGGUGAGGUAAUGGCUUACCAAGGCUAAGACGGCUAGGGGGCGUGAGAGCGCGAUCCCCCACAAUGGGACUGAGACACGGCCCAUACUCCUACGGGAGGCAGCAGUGAGGAAUAUUGCACAAUGGGGGCAACCCUGAUGCAGCAACGCCGCGUGAACGAUGAAGGCCUUCGGGUCGUAAAGUUCUUUUCUGAGGGACGAUAAUGACGGUACCUCA
rnacentral:rRNA from 1 species